UUUGAAACACUACUUCUCGUACAACCACCGAAGUUAAGCAACUUCAAGCCUGCUCAGUACCUAGAUGAGGGACCGCUUGGGAAUACCAGGCGCUGUAAG